CAUCUCUUUUCGUACUUAAGUCUAAUGUAAACCUUAAGAUUGUGUGAGUGAUGUCUAACCGACUUAAAUAUAAUUCAGAGAUUCAAGAAUAAUUGGAAUUGGAACUUAAGAGGACUUGCUGUAUUUCUUAUCUGUACACAUGAGCUGCACAGCAUGGGCAGCAAGCAGAAAGUUUUUAGCUGCUUUACAGGUCCACCUUUUAAGGCUAAUGUGAUUUUUAUACUUAACAGGAUGAAUUAUGUGGUCACUGGGAGGAAGACAAAGACCACUGGAAAACACCCACACAUAGACAGUGGACAAAGGAAGAAAGGUCACUGUUUUCUUCUCCUUUCUGACAUUCAGCCACUGGUUUAUCAGUUUGCUGCCAUGGCACAAGAAAGCGAGGGGAGUCAUCUUUCAGCCCUCCUCUGGAACUGGCUUCUCCCUCCUACAGACAGCCUUUCCCUUGCUGUAAAAUCUUUGUUUAAUGGCUGCAUUCAUUAUGCCGCUACAAAGACAGCUCCAUCUAAACGGUUAACUGGACAUCAAAUUCUGGCACAAAUUUUAAAGUUUCUUGGUCUUCCCACUGUACUCUUUCAAAAUGAAGAAGGUGUAAAGAAGAGUAACUGCGAUUCGUAUGGCUCAGGUCUACUCUGGCAUAAGAAAAUGUUGAACUUCUGUCUAACUUGGGACAAGCUGGUGUAUCUGCCUGAUUGUUUUUAGUUGCUCCUUCUCAUAGAAUGCCCGUUACAUGUGACAGUGGGGAAGCUGAAAGUAGCCUCUGUACCCUCUGUAAUACACUGUGCCCUAUUUAACCACCACUCCUGCCUGUUCUGUCUGCACAACGGAAAUAAGCCCUUGGCUGGCUGUGGAGAACUCUUACUGUGCUCAGUAAUUCCUGUCAGCAGUAAGAAGGUCCGCCCUUUUGCAUCUAAACACGCAUCUAAAACAGCAGAAUCAAAGUUGCAGUGUCGUAGCCAUAAAUGUGAUUGACUCCUCAUCUCCAGCAAUCCCUACAUUUGCCCCUUUGCAUUACAUACCAAUGAGCUAUCUGUAACAAAUACUCAUAUAUGUCUAUCUCAUCAGCCAAUGUGAAUUUGAUUCAGAAAAGCUAUUCUGAAGUCUGUUUAUUUUUCAGUAUUUCUCCCACUGAACUGUGCUGUAGUGAUAUUUUCUCAAACACUGCAGCUUCUCAUUUUUCAAGCUUAAAUUCCAAAGUCAUUUGAUGCUGGGUAGGAGAAAAAGGAGACAUUUAAACACUGCUCUGCAUGCGCUAGCUGCUGUUUCUAUCUAUAUUUCAAGGGUCUGAAGAUUUCUAGAGAUACUUGUUUCUCCUCAGGAUGAUAGUUUGCCCAGACUCCCACACAAGCAUCUUGUAAGAAUUUUACCAAAUAAGAUAGUGUUCUUUGUUCAACCAGCACAGGGAGCUCUGCAAAAUAAAAAAAAAAAUGAUGAAUUUUCA
rnacentral:lncRNA from 1 species